rnacentral:rRNA from 1 species
UGAGGAAUAUUGGUCAAUGGACGAGAGUCUGAACCAGCCAAGUAGCGUGAAGGAUGAAGGCCCUAUGGGUCGUAAACUUCUUUUAUAGGGGAAUAAAGUGCGGAACGUGUUCCGCUUUGUAUGUACCCUACGAAUAAGGAUCGGCUAACUCCGUGCCAGCAGCCGCGGUAAUACGGAGGAUCCGAGCGUUAUCCGGAUUUAUUGGGUUUAAAGGGAGCGUAGGUGGAUGUAUAAGUCAGUUGUGAAAGUUUGCGGCUCAACCGUAAAAUUGCAGUUGAUACUGUAUGUCUUGAGUGUACAAGAGGUGGGCGGAAUUCGUGGUGUAGCGGUGAAAUGCUUAGAUAUCACGAAGAACUCCGAUUGCGAAGGCAGCUCACUAGAGUACAACUGACACUGAGGCUCGAAAGUGUGGGUAUCAAACA